rnacentral:misc_RNA from 1 species
ACACCCUCAAGCUCCGCUUGGUGUUGGGCGUCUGUCCCGCCUUGUGCGCGGACUCGCCCCAAAAGAAUUGGCAGCGGUUUGCCAGCCCGUAGCGUAGCACUAUUGCGCCUGCGAGGCCCGGCGGAUCGGCGUCCACGAAGCACAACCCCA